UACGUAGGUGGCAAGCGUUGUCCGGAAUUAUUGGGCGUAAAGCGCGCGCAGGUGGUUUCUUAAGUCUGAUGUGAAAGCCCACGGCUCAACCGUGGAGGGUCAUUGGAAACUGGGGAACUUGAGUGCAGAAGAGGAAAGUGGAAUUCCAAGUGUAGCGGUGAAAUGCGUAGAGAUUUGGAGGAACACCAGUGGCGAAGGCGACUUUCUGGUCUGUAACUGACACUGAGGCGCGAAAGCGUGGGGAGCAACGG
rnacentral:rRNA from 1 species